GAUGAACGCUAGCGGGAGGCUUAACACAUGCAAGUCGAGGGGCAGCACGAGGUAGCAAUACUUUGGUGGCGACCGGCGCACGGGUGAGUAACGCGUAUGCAACCUACCCUGUACAGGGGGAUAACCCGGAGAAAUUCGGACUAAUACCCCAUAAAGAUAUUUAGAGGCAUCUUUGAAUAUUUAAAGUUACGACGGUACGGGAUGGGUAUGCGUGACAUUAGCUAGUUGGUAGGGUAACGGCCUACCAAGGCUUCGAUGUCUGGGGGUCCUGAGAGGGUGAUCCCCCACACUGGUACUGAGACACGGACCAGACUCCUACGGGAGGCAGCAGUGAGGAAUAUUGGUCAAUGGGCGCAAGCCUGAACCAGCCAUCCCGCGUGAAGGAAGAAUGCGCUAUGCGUUGUAAACUUCUUUUCCAGGGGAAGAAAACCUGAUACGUGUAUCGGCUUGCCGGUACCCUGGGAAUAAGCAUCGGCUAACUCCGUGCCAGCAGCCGCAGUAACAC
rnacentral:rRNA from 1 species